UACUCCUACAGUGAAGUGCUGCCCAUAGAGU
rnacentral:piRNA from 1 species